rnacentral:rRNA from 1 species
GAUGAACGCUGGCGGCGUGCCUAAUACAUGCAAGUCGAGCGAACGGACGAGAAGCUUGCUUCUCUGAUGUUAGCGGCGGACGGGUGAGUAACACGUGGAUAACCUACCUAUAAGACUGGGAUAACUUCGGGAAACCGUAGCUAAUACCGGAUAAUAUUUUGAACCGCAUGGUUCAAAAGUGAAAGACGGUCUUUCUGGCACUUAUAGAUGGAUCCGCGCUGCAUGAGCUAGUUGGUAAGGUAAUGGCUUACCAAGGGAACGAUGGAUAUGCGACCGGAGAGGGUGAUCGGCCACACUGGAACUGAGCCACGGUCCAGACUCCUGCGGGACGCCGCAGUAGGGAAUGUUCGGCAGUGGGGGAGAGCAUUACGGAGCAACGCCGCGUGUGUGAUGACGGUGUUCCGUUCGUAAAACUCUGUUAUUAGGGGAGAACAUAUGUGUACGUAACUGUGCCGAGCUUGACGGUACCUAAUCAAAAAGCCCCGGCUAACUACGUG